rnacentral:rRNA from 1 species
GACGAACGCUGGCGGCGUGCCUAAUACAUGCAAGUCGAGCGAAGUUUUUCUGGUGCUUGCACUAGAAAAACUUAGCGGCGAACGGGUGAGUAACACGUAAAGAACCUGCCUCAUAGACUGGGACAACUAUUGGAAACGAUAGCUAAUACCGGAUAACAGUAUUUCUCGCAUGAGAGAUAUUUAAAAGUUGGUUAUGCUAACACUAUGAGAUGGCUUUGCGGUGCAUUAGCUAGUUGGUGGGGUAAAGGCCCACCAAGGCGACGAUGCAUAGCCGACCUGAGAGGGUGAUCGGCCACACUGGGACUGAGACACGGCCCAGACUCCUACGGGGGGCAGCAGUAGGGACUCUUCCGCAAUGGGCGAAAGCCUGACGGAGCAACGCCGCGUGAGUGAAGAAGGAUUUCGGUUCGUAAAGCUCUGUUGUUAGGGAAGAAUGGAUAUGUAGUAACUAUACAUGUAAGAGACGGUACCUAGCCAGAAAGCCACGGCUAACUACGUG